AUCGGACUUCUGGUAAGUAGUUUCUGUCCCCUUGCGUUACGUUUUCUUUUCUUUUGUUUUUCUUAAUCUUCUUUUUUUUCCAUAGCUCAGCUGGGGGUGGAGUAAAACUAACGAAAGGAAACGAGCAACUAAAACACGAAAGUGGCGCUUAAGCGCCUUGCUGCCAUUGGUCGGUGCCUUAGUGCUGGGGGCGUGGUAUGGGCCAAGGGGGAUGAGAGAUGACUUCAAAUCAAAAUCCAAAUAGCGCAAACAAACUGCAAGAAAGACAGCCCGCUACAGAUGCCAAAAUUGCUUUUGCACAAAUUUCUCAUUUGCGUAAUUGACAUGCAUGGAAUGGAACUUUGUCGCAAGUGUUUUGUUUGCAAGUAGAAAUAUAUUACGGCAUUCGAAAACUCUUCCCUCCCCACGAAAAUCAAACAAAUCUCAAGGCAUGCCGCAAAUUGACUGACUGACUGGCAGAAGGACUCCCACCCACAACUGUCUCAAUAAAGUGAAAAACUGACAAUACUCCCCGGCUAUACCUGGGACAAUUUGCAAUCCAACGCAUCUGUCGCUGGCAACAUGUGGCGUCAAUGAUGUUCCUGCCUCUCCUCUCCCCAGGCCCCAUCCAAUUCCACUUGACAAUUGCCAACAAAGCGCACGUAAAGCGAUUACAGUCUGCGUGAGUGCAUGGAAAUGGAAAUGGAUGCCGGUCCGGAGAGAGUCCUCCUGCAGCUUACAGCCAGCUCCUCCACAUCUGUGUGUGUGUGUGUGUGUGUGUAUGUUGUUUGUAUGUGUCCCUGACGGAUAUUUGGCAAAUCCGAUGCCGACGCCAGCGGCACUUAAGCUGCUCAAAUAUGUCCCCAUUGUGCGGAUUGCCAGCAACAGCAAAGUGUUUGCAAAAUAUGCACUGGAAGUCCCAAUGUGUGGCAGGCAGAGCUACAAGAUUUGUUUUAAAUAUAUGGCAG
rnacentral:lncRNA from 1 species